CCCUGCCCAUUUCUGCAAAAAAAAGCCAGCUAGGAUUUGGAAAGAUUGCUUUGAAUUUGUAGAUCAACGCAAUUCUUCAAAAUCUUAGCUGGGAGAAGAAUUGUCAUCUUUAUAAUGUC
rnacentral:precursor_RNA from 8 species